rnacentral:rRNA from 1 species
CAGCCGCCGCGGGAACACGGAGGGUGCAAGCGUUAAUCGGAAUUACUGGGCGUAAAGCGUGCGUAGGCGGUUCGUUAAGUCUGUUGUGAAAGCCCCGGGCUCAACCUGGGAAUGGCAAUGGAUACUGGCGAGCUAGAGUGUGUCAGAGGAUGGUGGAAUUCCCGGUGUAGCGGUGAAAUGCGUAGAGAUCGGGAGGAACAUCAGUGGCGAAGGCGGCCAUCUGGGACAACACUGACGCUGAGGCACGAAAGCGUGGGGAGCAAACAGGAUUAGAUACCCCUGUAGUCCCUGUCUCUUAUAC